AUUGAACGCUGGCGGCAUGCUUUACACAUGCAAGUCGAACGGUAACAGGCCGCAAGGUGCUGACGAGUGGCGAACGGGUGAGUAAUGCAUCGGAACGUGCCCAGUCGUGGGGGAUAACGCAGCGAAAGCUGCGCUAAUACCGCAUACGAUCUAUGGAUGAAAGCGGGGGACCGAAAGGCCUCGCGCGAUUGGAGCGGCCGAUGUCAGAUUAGGUAGUUGGUGGGGUAAAGGCUCACCAAGCCAACGAUCUGUAGCUGGUCUGAGAGGACGACCAGCCACACUGAGACUGAGACACGGCCCAGACUCCUACGGGAGGCAGCAGUGGGGAAUUUUGGACAAUGGGCGCAAGCCUGGUCCAGCAAUGCCGCGUGCAGGAAGAAGGCCUCCGGGUUGUAAACUGCUUUUGUACGGAACGAAACGGUCCUGGUUAAUACCUGGGGCUAAUGACGGUACCGUAAGAAUAAGCACCGGCUAACUACGUGCCAGCAGCCGCCGUAAAAC
rnacentral:rRNA from 1 species